rnacentral:rRNA from 1 species
AUUGAACGCUGGCGGCAGGCCUAACACAUGCAAUUCGAGCGGAGCGGCGGACGGAUGAGUAAUGACUAGGAAUCUGCCUGGUAGUGGGGGGUAACGUCCGGAAACGGGCGCUACUCCCGCAUACUAUCAGAUGAGCCUAGGUCGGAGUAAGUAAUUGGUGGGGUAAAGGACUACCAAGGCGACGAUCCGUAACUGUGCUGAGAGGAUGAUCAGUCACACGGGAAAUGAGAACCGGUCCAGACUCCUACGGGAGGCAGCAGUGGGGAAUAUUGGACAAUGGCGAAAGCCUGAUCCAGCCAUGCCGCGUGUGUGAAGAAGGUCUUCGGAUUGUAAAGCACUUUAAGUUGGGAGGCGUUACCAACAGAAUAAGCACCGGCUAACUUCGUGCCAGCAGCCGCGGUAAUAC